rnacentral:rRNA from 1 species
ACGGGAGGCAGCAGUGGGGAAUAUUGCACAAUGGGCGAAAGCCUGAUGCAGCGACGCCGCGUGAGUGAAGAAGUACCUCGGUAUGUAAAGCUCUAUCAGCAGGGAAGAAAUGACAGUACCUGACUAAGAAGCACCGGCUAAAUACGUGCCAGCAGCCGCGGUAAUACGUAUGGCGCAAGCGUUAUCCGGAUUUACUGGGUGUAAAGGGAGCGUAGGCGGUCUGGCAAGUCUGAUGUGAAAACCCGGGGCUUAACCUCGGGAUUGCAUUGGAAACUGUCGGACUUGAGUGUCGGAGAGGUAAGCGGAAUUCCUAGUGUAGCGGUGAAAUGCGUAGAUAUUAGGAGGAACACCAGUGGCGAAGGCGGCUUUCUGGACGAUAACUGACGCUGAGGCUCGAAAGCGUGGGGAGCAAACAGGAUUAGAUACCCUGGUA